UGUUAUUGUUUUGGAGUCGAAUAUGACUUGAUGUGAUGUGUAUAAUUGAGUAUAAGAACUUAAACCGCAACCCGAUCUUAUAAGCCUCAGUAGUGUUGCCUUGUUAGAAGACACAAAGCCAAAGACUCAUAUGGACUUUGGCUACACCAUGAAAGCUUUGAGAAGCAAGAAGAAGGUUGGUUAGUGUUUUGGAGUCGAAUAUGACUUGUUGUCAUGUGUAUGAUUGAGUAUAACAACUUAAACCGUAACCCGAUCUUAAAAGCCUAAAUAAUGUUUCCUUGUUAGAAGACACAAAGCCAAAGACUCAUAUGGGCUUUGGCUACACCAUGAAAGCUUUGAGAAGCAAAAAGAAGGUUUGUUAGUGUUUUGGAGUCGAAUAUGACUUGAUGUCAUGUGUAUGAUUGAGUAAAAGAACUUAAACCGCAACCGGAUCUUAAAGGAGUAAGAAUUGUAUCCUUGUUAGAAGACACAAAGACAAAGACUCAUAUGGAAUUUGGCUACACCAUGAAAGCUUUGAGAAGCAAGAAGAAGGUUGGUUAGUGUUUUGGAGUGAAUAUGACUUAAUGUCAUGUGUAUGAUUGAGUAUUAGAACUUAAACCGCAACCCGAUCUUAAAAGCCGUAAGAAUUGUAUCCUUGUUAGAAGACACAAAGCCAAAGAAUCAUACGGACUUUGGCUACACCAUGAAAGCUUUGAGAAGCAAGAAGAAGGUUGGUUAGUGUUUUGGAGUCGAAUAUGACUUGAUGUCAUGUGUAUGAUUGAGUAUAAAAACUUAAACCGCAACCCGAUCUUAAAAGCCUAAGUAGUGUUUCCUUGUUAGAAGAUACAAAGCCAAAGACUCAUACGGACUUUGGCUACACCAUGAAAGCUUGGAUAAGGUAGAAGAGGCUUGGUUAGUGUUUUGGAGUCGAAUAUGACUUGAUGUCAUGUGUAUGAUUGAGUAUAAGAACUUAAACCGCAACUCGAUCUUAAAAGCCUAAGUAGUGUUUCCUUGUUAGAAGAUACAAAGCCAAAGACUCAUACGGACAUUGGCUACACCAUGAAAGCUUUGAGAAGCUAAAAGAAGCUUGGUUAGUGUUUUGGAGUCGAAUAUGACUUUAUGUCAUGCGUAUGAUUGAGUAUAAAAACUUAAACCGCAACCCGAUCUUAAAAGCCUAAGUAGUGUUUCCUUGUUAGAAGAUACAAAGCCAAAGACUCAUACGGACUUUGGAUACACCAUGAAAGCUUUGAGAAGCUAGAAGAAGCUUGGUUAGUGUUUUGGAGUCGAAUAUGACUUGAUGUCAUGUGUAUGAUUGAGUAUAAGAACUUAAACCGCAACUCGAUCUUAAAAGCCUAAGUAGUGUUUCCUUGUUAGAAGACACAAAGCCAAGGACUCAUAUGGACUUUGGGCUACACCAUGAAAGCUUUGAGAAGCAACAAGAAGGUUGGUUAGUGUUUUGGAGUCGAAUAUAACUUGAUGUCAUGUGUAUGAUUCAGUAUAAGAACUUAAACCGCAACCCGAUCUUAUAAGCCUAAGUAGUGUUUCCUUGUUAGAAGAUACAAAGCCAAAGACUCAUACGGACUUUGACUACACCAUGAAAGCUUUGAGAAGCAAGAAGAAGGUUGGUUAGUGUUUUGGAGUCGAAUAUGACUUGAUGUCGUGUGUAUGAUUGAGUAUAAGAACUUAAACCGCAACCGGAUCUUAAAGGCGUAAGAAUUGUAUCCUUGUUAGAAGACACAAAGCCAAAGACUCAUAUGGACUUUGGCUACACCAUGAAAGCUUUGAGAAGCAAGAAGAAGGUUGGUUAGUGGUUUAGAGUCGAAUAUGACUUGAUGUCAUGUGUAUGAUUGAGUAUAAGAACUUAAACCGCAAAUCUUAUAAGCCUAAGUAGUGUUUCCUUGUUAGAAGAUACAAAGCCAAAGAUUCAUACGGAUUUUGACUACACC
rnacentral:sRNA from 1 species